rnacentral:lncRNA from 1 species
UGCAGUUCAGUUUCACACCUGAAGUCAAGCAUUUCAUGCAAAUGUUUGAGGAACAAUGACUUGUAUGACUUGUUUGGUUUCAUGCCUCUUUUGUAGUACAUGUAAGCCUUAAUGUUUAGAAUAUCUGCCUUUUUUUCCCCUUGUUUCCAGAUUGUCAUGGUUAAGGAAGAGUGACCCCGUUUACCCCUGACCCACUUGAGCAGCCUCAUGAGGACAGCAGUAAAGGAAGUUUUCCUGGAGUCUUGGCUGUCCUGUGGGUUUCAUUAGAUUUUCAUGAAGCCUCUUCAAUCUGGUCUGUGGUUUUCUUUUCAAGUAGCAUGUUGCUGAGCUAGGCUAGCUCUGAUGGUGCUGGGAGAGUUAAAUCACCACCAAACUUUCAAGGCUUUAGACGGGAAGCAUGGUUUGACUCCCCAUGAAUGAUGUACUUGGCACAAAAAUCCAGUUUGGUAACAGUUUGCUUGGAGCAAACAUGGAAUCUGUUUCCAGUCCUUUUUAUUCUUUUUUUUUUCAGCCUCCACCAACAAAAUAUUUUUUCGUAGAGUAUAUAGUAAAAUGUAGAUAUUUUAGUGUAUUAUAUAUUAUAGCCAUUUGUUUAAAGGUAGAAAAUAAGAGAACCCUAAUGAAGGUUCAUGAUUCCAUUGAAGAUAAACCCUUUUUUUUUCUUUCUCAGUGGUGAAUGUGUGAUGUUGGUUGCAAGUUAUCACAAUGCCAAGAAUUUCCUGGGUCAUUUAACUUCUUCAGUAUAUAUUAUAGGCAUCCAUGAAGUUAUCCUGCCAUUUAUUUUUCCUCCACUAGGCAAUUCUGUGCCUCCAGAAUUUUAGUAUGUUUGUCUUGCUUGUUUCAUCUACCUAAAGACACAGCUCUGAUCUUAGUUGCUAUUUUUCACCUUCUGUGACAGUGAGAAACAUUAGUUGGCUUUUACUUGCCUCCUCUGAAAGAUGAAUUUACUGUAUAUUGUAUAAUUUUAUUUGUAUAUUAUAUAAUAUACUGCAUAUUGUAUUUAUAAAUAAUAAUGUUUCCUGAACAAGCAAGAAAGUCGAUGAUGUUCUGUUUUAACACAGGUAAUUUUAACACAACACUGGAAGAUAUUAUUGUAAAUUAUUGAAUUAUUUUCUUAGGUUCUUGCCUGCGAAUCUUCUUUUACAGUCAUUACAUGAUGAGUCUAUGGGCAUUGAUUGCUCUGACAAGAUGACAUUAAGCAACAAGUAACGCUCUGGACAGCAACCAGUCUCCCUCCAAUAAAAGGCGAAGGCAUGCGGUGGGAAGUGUGACAUGUGUGCUGCUGCUUAUAUCCUCUGGGCUUAGUUAAAGAAGAAGGUCAGGAAGCUUUAGGCAUUGCCCAGUGGUUCAUGAAAGAGAGUUAUGUCGCCUACGCAGAAGACCUAUACAGAAGAGGUUCUUCACCAUCACUACCAGAAGCACACACAAGAUCAUCCUGAUCCCACUCAGGUUAACUGUCUGGACAGCUGUGAGUCAAGCCUUCAAGCCACGCUGCUUUAUCUGAUUGGUCUCAGACUUGAUCUGGCACAUGAAAGGAAAUGUGAGGAAGUUUCAAGCAGGGAUCGUUUUGCAAGUCCAGAGCUGAGGGUGAGGUCAAGUUCACUCACAUUUUUGGAGUAUCACAUUGCAAACAUAAAGCACCGUGCAUACAGCAUGAGGGUUGGUGGAGCAGUGGUUUCAACUGCAGGAGAUCUGUGUUGCUGGAGUAUUUUCGUGUUAUUUACCAGCAUCAAUGAAAUAUACCACACUAAAGAAACAGCAGUUGCAUGUAUUUUUUAAAGGCGACCCUUCUAGGGAAUAGGCAUAUGGUGACUUUAUCUUCGUUUUGAUGUUUAACUCACACAGGUGUUGCAAGCAUCUCGUGGAGCUGCAGGGUAAUGUUAGCAUUUAGUUAAUGAGUAAGUUCUUAUUAUUCAUGUGGCAUUAAUUUAGCCCACGAUGUUACUCCUUUCCUCUUGCGGUGCGUUCAGAGUCGUGGAGAUUGCUGCAAGAAUUUAUGGGAUGGAAAAGCAGAUAUUUAACUAUGGGGCUUUUUAAAGCUGUGUGGAGUAAUAAAAUCAUUACUGUUGGAAAAGACUACCAAGAUCAUCUAGUCUGACCAUCAACCCAUCGCCACCAUGCCCUCUAACCAUGUUCCUCAGUCCUACUGACUCGACUGCCCUCCUUGCAAACAAGCUCUGUUCCAGACUCAGCCUUAGGUCGUCACUUCAUAAAAAUGGUCUCAUUUCUACUAGGGCCUCACUGAGAUUUCCCAGUCAGUCAUUUUUCUGAAGAUGUUUAAGUCUUAAAUGCGUACUUUGUUAUUCUGAAAGGCUUUAUGGCUUUGUGUAAUCAGUUUUUCUUAAAGGAGAAUUGUUGGGUAAGCUGUACAUUUCAGCAAAACCACAAUUUAAAAUUUUGUUAUCUGUUGUAACAUGCAGUAAAUUCCAUGGUUAAUGGAAGAGCAUAUUGAGCAAAAUCCUGUGCCACUCCUGAGCUCAGUUGUACCAAGUGCUCUAAAGGCUGUCUGUGUGGAACAGGUCUGCAUGCUUGUCACUGUUGCGGUGUAAAUGUUGUAUUUCUCAACAUCUACUACGGAGAAGCAGGAGUUUAUUCUCUAAGAAUAGAAAAGCAGAACAGAUAUGAGCAGC